ncrna:Ornithorhynchus anatinus (platypus) microRNA oan-mir-1421u precursor
UGGUGUGAGGUGGCCGUACCUCAUGCAGAGUGAUGGCGGAAUAUGCUGCAUAGUGUGCGGCCUCCCCACACAGU